GCAAUGUUCUCCGCGGUUUGUGUGUUAUUCGUGAACGCAAUCGGAACGAGUCCUCAUCAACGCAGUUUAACGCGACUUGCAGUGAUGAUUAUAUGCCAGUGCUCAUCGUGAAACUGCACAAACCGCGUCACUGCUGAUGGAGCUGCCACGUACGUAGACGGCGGCGCCCGAGAAGACCUUUUCUGAAGAGAAUGCGUGCCUGGCGAUUGUCACUUGCAGUCGCAACUUUUACAAAGUGGCAGCUGGCCUCCAUGGGGCGGUGCAGACAGGGGACUGUCAUUGCUGGAGCACCUCCUGGCUAUCCACAGGAAAUGGAAAAAACAUGGUAAAUUCAAACCCCCUCUGGUUCUCAUUUUCAUGUUUCCAUAAGUGUGUGUGUGUU